rnacentral:rRNA from 1 species
GGUAACGGGCUUACCCAAGGCGAUGAUGCAUAGCCCGAGUUGAGAGACUGAUCGGGCCACAUUGGGGACUGAGACACGGGCCCAAAAACUCCUACGGGGAGGCAGCAGUAGGGAAUCUUCCACAAUGGCGAAAGUCUGAUGGAGCAACGCCGCGUGAGUGAAGAAGGUUUUCGGAUCGUAAAAGCUCUGUUGUUGGUGAAGAAGGAUAGAGGUAGUAACUGGCCUUUAUUUGACGGUAAUCAACCAGAAAGUCACGGCUAACUACGUGCCAGCAGCCGCGGUAAU